rnacentral:lncRNA from 10 species
CACGGUAUAACCUUCCCUUCCCAACAGUAUUAGAUGGGCUGUCUACUUGGGUGAUGAAUUUACUCAGGAUGAGGGCAGGAAUUCAGGUGAAGGAGAAAGACUGUAAGCCAAGUGUCAAAGUCUUUAACAUCUUUAAUAAAUUAAGUCUUGAAAGACUAUGAAUAUGCUAAGUACAGGGGAGCAGAUAUUCUAGAAUGAGGAUCCUUCUCUUUUCUCUAUGAGCUUUCAGUCUAAAAACAUGUUAUACAAAUGCAGAAGUAAGCAGCCUCCUAAGAAAAAUGAGUAGUGUUUUCCUUCAUUCAUAAAACUAAUCUUUAUACUGCUUUGCAGACUUGGCAAGAACCUCUGGUUCACAUUUUCAUCCAAAGGCUAGAUUUUCCCCACUAAAGAGGAAUGGAGAAUGAAAUUACCUGCUAAUUCAAGCAAGAAAAAUAUCAGCUCUUAUUCUCAUAAAUUUGUGAAAAUAAAUUACAACUAGAUUGCCCCAGUUCUGAUUUGAAAACAUCUGGUGAGACCACUAGGUAUAGUUUCUCACUACUUUUUUUUUUUUAAAGUGUAAAAACACACAUAUUCAAAGGUUUUAAAAAUAAUCUUAAAAGAACAGAGUAGCAUGCUAUUUCCUGACAGGCUGACCUUUACACAAAGAAUGUUCACUUUCAACAAACUGAAAAUUACUCUUACUGAUGGCUUCAGAAUAUCACUGUCUACCUCAGAAAGCGGAAUGUUUUGUACAAAUCAUAAAUAAGUGGCUAGACGGACACUAUUUGGUCAUCAAAUGAUCAAUGUAGAGGGCAGGGGGAAAUUAUUUCUGCAGUACCAACCAUAUAUCUGGUACUGUGCAAAGGG